GUGGGGAAUUUUGGACAAUGGGCGCAAGCCUGAUCCAGCAAUGCCGCGUGCAGGAAGAAGGCCUUCGGGUUGUAAACUGCUUUUGUACGGAACGAAACGGUCCGGGUUAAUACCCUGGGCUAAUGACGGUACCGUAAGAAUAAGCACCGGCUAACUACGUGCCAGCAGCCGCGGUAAUACGUAGGGUGCAAGCGUUAAUCGGAAUUACUGGGCGUAAAGCGUGCGCAGGCGGUUUUGUAAGACAGGCGUGAAAUCCCCGGGCUCAACCUGGGAAUUGCGCUUGUGACUGCAAGGCUGGAGUGCGGCAGAAGGGGAUGGAAUUCCGCGUGUAGCAGUGAAAUGCGUAGAUAUGCGGAGGAACACCGAUGGCGAAGGCAAUCCCCUGGGCCUGCACUGACGCUCAUGCACGAAAGCGUGGGGAGCAAACAGGAUUAGAAACCCGAGUAGUCC
rnacentral:rRNA from 1 species